CCUUAGAGCAUUAAACCAACCGGAGUGGCCAUUGGCAGGCGUUCCCCGCUCGCCAAAGGUUUGAGUACGCGUUACAUACCUGUUAUAUAAAACUAGUUGACGCGCGCCCAACGCCAUUUUGCUAAUGUCAGUGAACGUGAAAAAACCGGAGCGAAAUAUGCCAAAUUGAAGUGAAUUUACGUGUAAGAAGUGGUCAGAAACGUGGAAUGUAAUUAAGGAUAAUGUUACUUUUCAUCUGUAAGUACUUUUACAUCAAAAUAUUGUGAAAUAUUGCAGCAAAUUUGCAAAAUACUGAAAUAUAUUGUCAAUGUAAAAGUGUUGCCACAUAAUGGUACUACAUCCACUUUUGGGUAAAUUUUAAAAUUUCUAAAAGCUGCUGUGAUUCGGGAUGUUUGGAUUCGAUCUCCGAAUGCGAAUCAUGUUUCAUGGACACCUAAACGGACUAGCACUAACUAGUGUUUCUGCGUUAAAAUAAAUGUAAAUAUUUGUAAAUAAAUGAUGUAAAUGAACGACGAA